rnacentral:rRNA from 1 species
AUGGACUCCGCCGAGAGGUCCAGGAAGAGGGCGCAGCGAUGGAGCAAGCGCAAGGCCGUCGUCGUCCACCUCGCCGUCUGCUUCGUCGUCGGCGCCUUGGCGCCACUGGCCGCCACCCGCGGCCCGGGCAUCCGUGAUGGCGGUGUUCAGCGAGUGGCUCCGCCGUCGCCCCCUGCUGCCCCUGACAUUGGCCUCCUGCUGAUCGUCACCGUGACAAGGCCGGACGAGGACGGCAUGUUGCAGGAGGCGUCGCUGACGAGGCUCGGGCACACGCUGCGGCUCGUCCCGCCGCCGUUGCUAUGGAUCGUGGUUGGUGCCGAGAACAGGUCGGCGUCGACGGUCCAGGUGCUGCGGGGCACCGGCGUCAUGUUCCGGCAUCUCACCUACGCCGUCGACAACACCACUGGGAAUGCCGGUGACGAAGGAGACCUGAAGAGGAACGUGGCGCUGAGCCACAUCGAGCGGCACCGGCUGGCCGGGGUCGUCCACUUCGCCGCCACCUCUGCCAUAUAUGACCUCCGGUUCUUUGAAGAGCUCAGGCAGACUCGGGGCGUUGCAGCAUGGCCAACGGCAACUGUGUCAUCAGCAGACCAGAGAGUAACACUACAAGGACCAACCUGUAACUCAUCACAGAUAACAGGCUGGUACUCCGAGGACUCAGGAAUCAAUGCAACAGCGACACAUACAACAGAUGCGGCUGCUGCACAAGAUACAGGCGCAAUCCGCAACAGCUCCUGUUUACCUCCUGAAAUAAGCAUAUCUGGACUUGGGUUCAGGAGCUCAAUACUCUGGGAAUGGUUCAUCAACAGCAACAUCUCUUCAGGAGGCAGCUCUCAGGACUACAUCCAGCUUGUACGACAAAUGGCAGUCGGCGACGAGGACGGGUGGAAGGGCAUCCCUUCUGACUGCUCCGAGUCACGGAUAAUGAUGUGGCACCUUGAAAUGCCAAAGCACACUCCAGAAGUUGAAGAACAGGAGACUCCACGAGAGCAAAGUCUAUUGGAGGAAGACGAAGAGGACUAUAUGAAUUGA